rnacentral:ribozyme from 1 species
UUUUUCUUUUUCUUUCUUACAUUUUCUUUCUCAUGUUUCUUCCUUCCACUGUAUGUAUAUAUAAACAC